rnacentral:rRNA from 1 species
CAUACAAGUCGAACGGAAAGGCCCUGCCUUUGUGGGGUGCUCGAGUGGCGAACGGGUGAGUAACACGUGAGUAACCUGCCCUUGACUUUGGGAUAACUUCAGGAAACUGGGGCUAAUACCGGAUAGGAGCUCCUGCUGCAUGGUGGGGGUUGAAAGUUUCGGCGGUUGGGGAUGGACUCGCGGCUUAUCAGCUUGUUGGUGGGGUAGUGGCUUACCAAGGCUUUGACGGGUAGCCGGCCUGAGAGGGUGACCGGCCACAUUGGGACUGAGAUACGGCCCAGACUCCUACGGGAGGCAGCAGUGGGGAAUAUUGCACAAUGGGCGGAAGCCUGAUGCAACAACGCCGCGUGCGGGAUGACGGCCUUCGGGUUGUAAACCGCUUUCGCCUGUGACGAAGCGUGAGUGACGGUAAUGGGUAAAGAAGCACCGGCUAACUACGUGCCAGCAGCCGCGGUGAUACGUAGGGUGCGAGCGUUGUCCGGAUUUAUUGGGCGUAAAGGGCUCGUAGGUGGUUGAUCGCGUCGGAAGUGUAAUCUUGGGGCUUAACCCUGAGCGUGCUUUCGAUACGGGUUGACUUGAGGAAGGUAGGGGGGAAUGGAAUUCCUGGUGGAGCGGUGGAAUGCGCAGAUAUCAGGAGGAACACCAGUGGCGAAGGCGGUUCUCUGGGCCUUUCCUGACGCUGAGGAGCGAAAGCGUGGGGAGCGAACAGGCUUAGAUACCCUGGUAGUCCACGCUGUAAACGGUGGGUACUAGGUGUGGGGUCCAUUCCACGGGUUCCGUGCCGUAGCUAACGCUUUAAGUACCCCGCCUGGGGAGUACG